rnacentral:rRNA from 1 species
CAGUAGCCACGGUAAUACAGAGGGUGCAAGCGUUAAUCGGAAUUACUGGGCGUAAAGCGCGCGUAGGUGGUUCGUUAAGUUGGAUGUGAAAUCCCCGGGCUCAACCUGGGAACUGCAUCCAAAACUGGCGAGCUAGAGUAGGGCAGAGGGUGGUGGAAUUUCCUGUGUAGCGGUGAAAUGCGUAGAUAUAGGAAGGAACACCAGUGGCGAAGGCGACCACCUGGGCUCAUACUGACACUGAGGUGCGAAAGCGUGGGGAGCAAACAGGAUUAGAUACCCCGGUAGUCCCUGUCUCUUAUAC